ACAACUCAGGUCUGUGGUUGCAAGUCGAUGCCAGUUGCAGGCGAAACGAUCCACGUAAGCAGCAAAAUUUUGCUGUGAGCACGGUGCAGCUUAGAAGUAAGUCCUGCCGCAAAAAAAUUAUGGGCGAGAGAGGUAGUAGUGGGGAGCGGAAUGCUUAGGAGCGAACCUUCCAGCAGGCGAGUGUGGGGGCGAAAACCAGGUCAGCUGAGUUGU
rfam:Phascolarctobacterium sp. YIT 12067 genomic scaffold Scfld77, whole genome shotgun sequence.